GGAAGGGCUCAGAUUCUUUGUGUCCAGAGUCAUUCCAUACUUGGAAUCUCAGUCUCUGACUAAGACGUGAGGCCCACGAGGGAGGGAAGGACAAGGCAACAAGACGACCUAUAAGAAGAGAACUCUCAGAGGAGCAGUAUCUGCAUAUUCAAAUUCCAGCACGGACUUUUCUGAAUGGAUUUGUGUAUGAUUAGCUUUCCCAAACCAAGCUAUUAAAAUGGCAAUGAGGGUUAAGUGACUUGCCCUGGGUCACACAGC